GGAGGCAGCAGUGGGGAAUAUUGCACAAUGGGCGCAAGCCUGAUGCAGCGACGCCGCGUGAGGGAUGACGGCCUUCGGGUUGUAAACCUCUUUCACCAGGGACGAAGCGCAAGUGACGGUACCUGGAGAAGAAGCACCGGCCAACUACGUGCCAGCAGCCGCGGUA
rnacentral:rRNA from 1 species